UGGGGAAUAUUGCACAAUGGGGGAAACCCUGAUGCAGCGACGCCGCGUGAAGGAAGACGUAUUUCGGUAUGUAAACUUCUAUCAGCAAGGAAGAUGAUGACGGUACUUGACUAAGAAGCCCCGGCUAACUACGUGCCAGCAGCCGCGGUAAUACGUAGGGGGCAAGCGUUAUCCGGAUUUACUGGGUGUAAAGGGAGCGUAGGCGGCCAUGCAAGUCAGAAGUGAAAGCCCGGGGCUCAACCCCGGGACUGCUUUUGAAACUGUAGGGCUAGAUUGCCGGAGAGGUGAGCGGAAUUCCUAGUGUAGCGGUGAAAUGCGUAGAUAUUAGGAGGAACACCAGUGGCGAAGGCGGCUCACUGGACGGUAAAUGACGCUGAGGCUCGAAAGCGUGGGGAGCAAACAGG
rnacentral:rRNA from 1 species